rnacentral:rRNA from 1 species
CCUACGGGUGGCAGCAGUGGGGAAUAUUGGACAAUGGGCGAAAGCCUGAUCCAGCCAUGCCGCGUGUGUGAAGAAGGCCUUCGGGUUGUAAAGCACUUUCAGUGGGGCAGAAAGCCUUGGGGCUAAUACCCUCGAGGAAGGACAUCACCCACAGAAGAAGCACCGGCUAACUCCGUGCCAGCAGCCGCGGUAAUACGGAGGGUGCGAGCGUUAAUCGGAAUUACUGGGCGUAAAGCGCGCGUAGGCGGUCUGAUAAGCCGGUUGUGAAAGCCCCGGGCUCAACCUGGGAACGGCAUCCGGAACUGUCAGGCUAGAGUGCAGGAGAGGAAGGUAGAAUUCCCGGUGUAGCGGUGAAAUGCGUAGAGAUCGGGAGGAAUACCAGUGGCGAAGGCGGCCUUCUGGACUGACACUGACGCUGAGGUGCGAAAGCGUGGGUAGCAAACAGGAUUAGAUACCCCUGUAGUC